rnacentral:rRNA from 1 species
UGCGUAGGUGGUGGGGUAAGUCUGAUGUGAAAUCUCCGGGCUCAACUCGGAAAUGGCAUUGGAAACUACCUUGCUAGAGGGUUGGAGGGGGGACUGGAAUGCUCGGUGUAGCAGUGAAAUGCGUAGAUAUCGAGCGGAACACCAGUGGCGAAGGCGAGUCCCUGGACAACUCCUGACACUGAGGCACGAAAGCUAGGGGAGCAAACA